rnacentral:rRNA from 1 species
UACGGAGGAUUCAAGCGUUAUCCGGAUUUAUUGGGUGUAAAGGGAGCGUAGACGGCGAUGCAAGCCAGAUGUGAAAGCCCGCGGCUCAACUGCGGUAGUGCAUUUGGAACUGUAUGGCUGGAGUGCAGGAGAGGCAGGCGGAAUUCCUAGUGUAGCGGUGAAAUGCGUAGAUAUACGGAGGAACACCAGUGGCGAAGGCGGAUUGCUGGACAGUAACUGACGCUGAGGCACGAAAGCGUGGGGAGCAAACAGG